AUGGCUACACAAUUUCAUCCAACCUCGUCGGAUCUCAUGCUACAUUUAAUUGCAUGAAAGGAUUUGAUUUCAGUGGCCACAAUUUUUCGACUUGUUUGAACAACUUAGCAUGGUCCAAUACAAAGGUUUCUUGUCUACCAAAAGACUGUGGAAUGCCCCAUCUACCAAGUAAUGGAAACGUUUUGUUAAAUAACAGAAGGUCAACGUAUGGAUCUAGUGCCGGCGUGAGUUGCAAUGAUGGGUAUCAUGUAUAUGGCCAUAAUGACAGCGAAAUAACUCUACAGUGUACAGAAACUGGGAAAUGGAGUUCAGAAAACUACACGUGUGUGCCAGUGGGGUGUUCUGAUUUGGUGAUAAAGAAUGGCUAUACAAUAUCGACAAACCUCGUCGGAUCUAACGCGACAUUUCAUUGCAUUGAAGGAUUUGAUUUCGUUGGCCACAAUUUUUCGAGUUGUUUGGAAAACUCAGCAUGGUCUAAUACAAACGUUUCUUGUCAA